rnacentral:rRNA from 1 species
AGUGAACGCUGGCGGCAGGCCUAACACAUGCAAGUCGAGCGGCAGCGCGGGGGCAACCCUGGCGGCGAGCGGCGGACGGGUGAGGAAUGCGUCGGAAUCUGCCUCUUUGUGGGGGAUAACGUAGGGAAACUUACGCUAAUACCGCAUACGACCUACGGGUGAAAGUGGGGGACCGCAAGGCCUCACGCAGAGAGAUGAGCCGACGCCGGAUUAGCUAGUUGGCGGGGUAAAGGCCCACCAAGGCGACGAUCCGUAGCUGGUCUGAGAGGAUGAUCAGCCACACUGGAACUGAGACACGGUCCAGACUCCUACGGGAGGCAGCAGUGGGGAAUAUUGGACAAUGGGCGCAAGCCUGAUCCAGCCAUGCCGCGUGUGUGAAGAAGGCCUUCGGGUUGUAAAGCACUUUUGUCCGGAAAGAAAAGCAUUCGGUUAAUAACCGGGUGUCAUGACGGUACCGGAAGAAUAAGCACCGGCUAACUUCGUGCCAGCCGCCGCAGUAACAC